GCGGCGUGCUAUACAUGCAAGUCGAACGAACUCUGGUAUUGAUUGGUGCUUGCAUCAUGAUUUACAUUUGAGUGAGUGGCGAACUGGUGAGUAACACGUGGGAAACCUGCCCAGAAGCGGGGGAUAACACCUGGAAACAGAUGCUAAUACCGCAUAACAACUUGGACCGCAUGGUCCGAGCUUGAAAGAUGGCUUCGGCUAUCACUUUUGGAUGGUCCCGCGGCGUAUUAGCUAGAUGGUGGGGUAACGGCUCACCAUGGCAAUGAUACGUAGCCGACCUGAGAGGGUAAUCGGCCACAUUGGGACUGAGACACGGCCCAAACUCCUACGGGAGGCAGCAGUAGGGAAUCUUCCACAAUGGACGAAAGUCUGAUGGAGCAACGCCGCGUGAGUGAAGAAGGGUUUCGGCUCGUAAAACUCUGUUGUUAAAGAAGAACAUAUCUGAGAGUAACUGUUCAGGUAUUGACGGUAUUUAACCAGAAAGCCACGGCUAACUACGUGCCAGCAGCCGCGGUAAUACGUAGGUGGCAAGCGUUGUCCGGAUUUAUUGGGCGUAAAGCGAGCGCAGGCGGUUUUUUAAGUCUGAUGUGAAAGCCUUCGGCUCAACCGAAGAAGUGCAUCGGAAACUGGGAAACUGAGUGCAGAAGAGACAG
rnacentral:rRNA from 1 species